AGCCGGACCGACACUCACCGAGGCUCGCCGGGAGCGCCCGCGCCCGCGCCCGCACUCGGAUCCCGCGGCGGCGGCGGCGGAAACCAAUUUUAGGCGCACAGAGCGCCAGACUCUUCCUAGAACCCCGAAGUCCAAACCCGAGGACGAGCGCUCGGUGUUUCUAGAAGGCGUCGCCACCAUGGGACCGCGAGCGUUCUCGCGUUCUUUUCGUACUCUUGACCUCCAAGUAUCCCGCAGAGCUGUCAUUGUUGAUCCGAAGAGAAACCUCCAACUCGGAGCAGUUCUCCGGGGUCCCCUUCCUGGAGCCGGGUCCUGGCUGCUGACUGUGUUGUGUGGAAGACCCCGUCCCGGCGGCCGCGCUGUGCACUACACAAGGCUGUCUGGGGGUCAAGACGGAAAGAAAGUCGUACGGAAAAUGCAAGGUCGUGACGAGAACGCUCCAUGUACUGGGGCUUUAACAAAGCGCUUGGAGAAAGUUUAUGGACAAGAUGAGAAAGCUAGAGGUGGAUGGAUGGAUGUCACUAGUUACGCUAAUAACCGGCUAAAUAACCAUUACUUAAAGAUGCUGACUAAUGCGUCCUUGUCGACCGGAAGGAAGGCUGGAGGGAACCAAAAUUCAGGGAGCUUUAACUCUGUGUCAGGCACUGUGGUUAAACACUUUCCCCGUGUUUUCUUCUGAGUCCUCACGGCCCCCCUGUGAGGAAGCUGUUAUCCCAUUUCACAGAUAAGAAGCUGAAACAGCUGGCACAGUGUCACACAGUAGUGGCAGAGUCAUGAUUCAAACCAGAACUUGUUUCACCCCAAAACCUCCGUACUACAGCAUUUACCAUCAGGACUUUCUUCAGUGUCCCGAAUGAAAAACCACAAGACUUGCAUGGCAUUUCCCAAUGACACAAAGCCAAGUGGGGGAAGAGAUCCCAUUACUUAACAUCAGUCAAAUCCAAUAUGGAGCAGUGGGCUGCCUCUAAGAGGGGUUAAUGUGGGGUCCCAUUCUGGGCGGCCAGCUGUUCCAACGCAGGUUAGGAGCACAGGUGUUUUAACAGAUGUUCAUAAGAGCAAUGCAGAGGGUCAUAAGGGAAAUACAACUCAAUCUGAGCCCACAGGGAAUUGUUGCUGCCAAAAUAAAGGAAAGCUGUCUGUGGCUGCAUCAGUAGAAGCCUGAUAUAAAGCAAGUUGUGUGUUGUUGUGCGGCAAUUACGACUUUGCAAAGAGAAAUUAUCUACAUGCACUAGGAGAGGGACCAGGAUGUACAGAGCUAGAAACUAUGUCAUAAAGGGAAGAUUAAAGGGAACAGGAGGUUUUGCCCUAGGGGGUACAAGGUAACUGCCAUCAUGUAUUUGAAGAGCUGUCAAAUAGAUGAGAAAUUAGGUUUAUUUUCCAGGGUCCUAAAGGAUGGAAGGGAGACCAGUGGGAGGAAAGUCUAGAAUGAAUCAAUACAAAGAAUUUUCUGACCACUUAAGCCUCCUGUGCCUUGAGAAGUUGGGUUUCUUGUCACAGGAAGUGUCUAGGCAAGAAAUGGAUGACCACGUGGGGGAAGGAGAGAUGGAAGGGAUGUCUUUUAGGAUUCUGCC
rnacentral:lncRNA from 1 species